AAAAAAAUGCAUGUACAUACACAUACACGCACACACAUGUAUGUGUCAGGUUACUUGGAAAUGCAGCUCAAAAUAGAUGGUAAACUCCAUCUAAGGCUAAAUACUGGCCAAUAGCUAACAAGAACGAUGACAAAAAGUUGAAAAAAACUUUGAAGAAAUGUGUGUGUGUAAAUUUAUAAAUUCUUAUAAAUUGUGUACUUUUCCAUGGUAUGAGUAUGGAUA
rnacentral:ncRNA from 1 species